ACAUCCAGAGAACUUGGCAGAGAUGCCUUGGUGCCUUCGGGACCUCUGAGACAGGUGCUGCAUGGCUGUCGUCAGCUCGUGUUGUGAAUGUUGGGUUAAGUCCCGCAACGAGCGCAACCCCUAUCCUUUGUUGCCAGCGAUUCGGUCGGGAACUCAAAGGAGACUGCCGGUGAUAAACCGGGAGGAAGGUGGGGAUGACGUCAAAUCAUCAUGGCCCUUACGAGUAGGGCUACACACGUGCUACAAUGGCGCAUACAAAGAGAAGCGACCUCGCGAGAGCAAGCGGACCUCAUAAAGUGCGUCGUAGUCCGGAUCGGAGUCUGCAACUCGACUCCGUGAAGUCGGAAUCGCUAGUAAUCGUAGAUCAGAAUGCUACGGUGAAUACGUUCCCGGGCCUUGUACACACCGCCCGUCACACCAUGGGAGUGGGUUGCAAAAGAAGUAGAUAGCUUAACCUUCGGGAGGGCGUUUACCACUUUGUGAUUCAUGACUGGGGUGAAGUCGUAACAAGGUAGGCGUAGCGAG
rnacentral:rRNA from 1 species